AGCGAACGCUGGCGGCAGGCCUAACACAUGCAAGUCGAGCGCCCCGCAAGGGGAGCGGCAGACGGGAGAGUAAUACGUGGGAACGUACCCUUUAGUUCGGAACAACCCAGGGAAACUUGGGCUAAUACCGGAUACGUCCGUAAGGAGAAAGAUUUAUCGCUAAAGGAUCGGCCCACGUCUGAUUAGCUAGUUGGUGAGGUAACGGCUCACCAAGGCGACGAUCAGUAGCUGGUCUGAGAGGAUGAUCAGCCUCACUGGGACUGAGACACGGCCCAGACUCCUACGGGAGGCAGCAGUGGGGAAUAUUGGACAAUGGGCGCAAGCCUGAUCCAGCCAUGCCGCGUGGGUGAUGAAGGCCCUAGGGUUGUAAAGCCCUUUCGGCGGGGAAGAUAAUGACGGUACCCGCAGAAGAAGCCCCGGCUAACUUCGUGCCAGCCGCCGCGGUAAUAC
rnacentral:rRNA from 1 species